AUGGGGCUCAUCACCAACGAUGAUGACACCUCCUACAGACAUGAGGUCCAGCGACUGUCAGAAUGGUGUAACUACAAAAACCUCACCCUAAACACCAAGAAAACAAAGGAAGAGGUCAUGGACUUCCGAAAAACAAGAACUGAUCCCCCUCCCCUCUCCAUAAAAGGUGACUAUGUGGAGAUGGUGUCUUCCUUUAAUAGUAGAAGUUUAUAUGCCAACUUUCACAACAUAAGAGAAUAUUUAAGCAAAUUUGCACAUCCAUUCAGUGUGAUUGCAGUAUCUGAGAUGUGGAUUAAUAUGGAGAAAGGAGUGGACUUUGAAAUAGAUGGAUAUGAACUAAAUUUUAUGAACAGAAAGAAUGGUGGGGGUGUGGCUUUGUUUGUGGACAAAAAUUUAAAAUACAGGGUGGUGGAAAAAAUGACAGUGGUGGUGGACAACAUAUUAGAGUGUGUAACAAUAGAAAUUAGUAUGGAAAAAAAGAAAAAUGUCGUUGUAAGUUGUAUAUAUAGAACACAAGGUUCUUAUAUUGAAAUAUUUAAGGAGUGGGUAGAUAAAACAUUUAUUAGGACAAAUCAAAAAGUUAUGUUCAUUUGUGGGGAUUUCAACAUAGACCUAUUAAAUCCAAACAAACAUAGUAUGACAGAUGAGUUUAUUAAUACAAUGUAUAGCAUGGGACUCUGUCCAGUGAUCACUAAACCCAGCAGGAUUACAGCACAGUCGGCAACCUUAAUAGACAAUAUAUUUACUAAUGAAAUAGAAAACAGAUCUAUAAGUGGUCUCCUAAUUAAUGACAUCAGUGAUCAUCUACCUGUUUUUGUAGUGUAUGACAGCAAUUACAGGAAGGUCAAACAGGAAAAUACAACAAAAUACAAACGAGUGAGAACAGAGGAGUCCAUAAAUGCAUUUAAAAGUGAUUUACUUAAGCAAGAAUGGGAGAUGUUGUAUAAGGAAAAAAAUAUUGAUAAAGCUUAUGAGACUUUUUUAGGAAAAUUUAAACUGUUAUAUGAUAGCCGUUGCCCAGUAAAGAAAUAUAGCAAAAAACAAAAAUAUGCAGCGUGCCCAUGGAUCACAAAAGGAUUACAAAAUGCAUGUAAAAAGAAAAAUACCUUAUAUAGAGAAUUUAUAAAGAACAGAAGUACAGAAGCUGAAAAUAAAUACAAGAAAUAUAAAAAUAAAUUAACUAGUAUUUUGAGGUCAUGUAAAAAGGAAUAUUAUGAGAAAUUAUUAAAUAUGAAUAAAAAUAACAUUAAAGGGAUUUGGAAAACAUUAAAUACCAUCAUUAAAAAUGGUUAUAGGCAGUUAAAUUAUCCUUAG
rnacentral:lncRNA from 1 species